rnacentral:rRNA from 1 species
ACGGAAGGCAGCAGUGGGGAAUAUUGGGCAAUGGGGGCAACCCUGACCCAGCAACGCCGCGUGAAGGAAGAAGGCUUUCGGGUUGUAAACUUCUUUUACCAGGGACGAAGGACGUGACGGUACCUGGAGAAAAAGCCACGGCUAACUACGUGCCAGCAGCCGCGGUAAUACGUAGGUGGCAAGCGUUGUCCGGAUUUACUGGGUGUAAAGGGUGCGCAGGCGGGACUGCAAGUUGGAUGUGAAAUACCGAGGCUCAACCUCGGAGCUGCAUCCAAAACUGUAGUUCUUGAGUGGAGUAGAGGUAAGCGGAAUUCCGAGUGUAGCGGUGAAAUGCGUAGAUAUUCGGAGGAACACCAGUGGCGAAGGCGGCUUACUGGGCUCUAACUGACGCUGAGGCACGAAAGUGUGGGUAGCAAACAGGAUUAGAUACCCUGGUA